UUAAGACAAAGCCCUGCCAAGGUGACUGUGAAAGCCCAAGUCCAACAGUCUGCGUCCCUGAGUGACUAUGAUGAACAAAGGCCUGCAACUAACCUGCACUGGACAUACAAUAUCAGCAAGAAAACUUUCCUGUGUGAUGCUGCUGAGAUUUUCAGAGGCUUCCAGAUCAAGAGGAGCCACAUCUGGACACAAUACAGAAAG